rnacentral:rRNA from 1 species
UACGUAGGGUGCAAGCGUUGUCCGGAAUUAUUGGGCGUAAAGAGCUCGUAGGCGGUCUGUCGCGUCGGCUGUGAAAACCCGGGGCUCAACCCCGGGCCUGCAGUCGAUACGGGCAGACUAGAGUGUGGUAGGGGAGACUGGAAUUCCUGGUGUAGCGGUGAAAUGCGUAGAUAUCUGGAGGAAUACCGGUGGCGAAGGCGGCAUCCUGGACCGGCAUUGACGCUGAGGAGCGAAAGCUAGGGGAGCAAACGGG